rnacentral:piRNA from 1 species
UGCUCCUGCAUGGUUUUGGUGGUAACAUUU